rnacentral:rRNA from 1 species
UGGCCCAGAUCGUUUACCGUGAAAAAAUUAGAGUGUUCAAAGCAGGCAGAUCCAAUUUUCUGCCACCGAAUACAUUAGCAUGGGAUAAUGGAAUAGGACCCUGUCCUCCUAUUUUCAGUUGGUUUUGGCAGCGCGAGGACUAGGGUAAUGAUUAAUAGGGAUAGUUGGGGGCAUUAAUAUUUAAUUGUCAGAGGUGAAAUUCUUGGAUUUAUGAAAGAUUAACUUCUGCGAAAGCAUCUGCCAAGGAUGUUUUCAUUAAUCAAGAACGAAAGUUAGGGGAUCGAAGACGAUCAGAUACCGUCGUAGUCUUAACCAUAAACGAUGCCGACCAGCGAUUAGGAGACGUUGAAUACAAAACACCACCAUCGGUUGCGGUCGUCCUUGGCGUCUCGGUUUCGGCCGGGGCGCGGGGAUGGCUUAGCCCGGUGGCACCGGUGAAUGACUCCCCUAGCAGCUUGUGAGAA